GGGGGUGUCAGUUUUGACACGUGGACAGCCCGGUAUGUGCAGGCAGAGCUCUCGUAACUCUUUAAACUGCGGGAAAAUUUAAGUGCAGACUCAACCGUCGCACGGGCAAAGUCAACUGUUUCUCCGUAUUUUACGGCGAACGACUUUGUAUUCGCUUACGUUCGAGCUUAAACUCGUCUGAGCGAACGAUUGCUACUCCCGCCGUCCGGGACGGGAUAGCAGCCGCUUUAUCUCUCGGAUUGUAGUCCCGAUACUGCUCUUAUCGGGAUCAAACUCAGAGCUUUGGAUUCUUUGUGUUUUGUCUGAUUUUUAGCAAAGAGUCCGAGAAUCAAAAUCAUGAUAAGCCUGUAGAAUCAUAUCGUGCAUCCUCAUGGACGGGAGCUCACUCUCCCCACCUCCACCA
rnacentral:tmRNA from 1 species